rnacentral:misc_RNA from 1 species
GCACCAACACCGACUCUGUCGCCCACCUUGACAGUCUUGACCUCGCUGCCAACCUUGAUAGCCCUGCCGAUGACCUCGUGGCCAACGCAGAGAGGCAUGGGAGCAUCGCCCCAGCCGCCAGUGAUGGUGUGGACAUCAGAGCCACAGACACCGCACGCGUCAAUGGCAAUGUCAAUGUCGCGCUCACCGAACUGCUUCAGCUUGAACUCCUUCUUCUCG